UUUUGACUUAACAAAAAUUGCUUGUCAGGUGUUUUUAAAACAUAUGGUAGCAUGCAGAGUUUCGCACUCAAAAUCUCUUCCUGGCAUAAUAUAAACCAUAUGCGAUUUUUUGGCGUACAAUCACAUGAUGCAAUAUAUUGGUGUGCAUACAAAAGGUGAAUUUAUAAUUUUGAAUAAUUUGCUCAUUUAUUUUUACUGUCAAAUGUGUCAUAAUUGCUAUGCACUGGGCUUUAACUUAUUUUGUCUCUGUAAAACUAAAGAAGAAAGUCGAGACACGUCUUAAAAUUUGAAAGUGACGAUCGUCACGUUACCAAUUGUUACCCUUACUUUUAAAUAGCAUGAACUAUUUUUUGUUAGUAGGAUUAACAGUCAUUUUUUUAUUUUUUAUUCAUGCAGCAAGUUCAUACAUCGAAAUUAUUAAAAAGUGAAAUAUGAAGUCAGAGAAUCAUUUAAGAAGGCUUUGCAACCCUUAUUGUUAACUUAAAUCUUUUUUCAUGUAUGUAGAAAACCGUGUAGUUAAAAUUCAUAAAAAGAAACAAAAUAAUGAAUUAUUACAAAUCAUAUGUAACAAUGAUGUACGGAAGAUUCUUUCUCAUGUUUUUAUAUUUUUUUAUCCAUUUUUAUCGUACUAAUCAUAGUGUGCAUAUUUCAUGGGUCUUAUUAAUUGUAUUUUUAACUUUUUUUCACAUUUUUGUGGCCACCUGUUGUUUGAAGAAAAAUGAAUUUCAUUCAAACUGAAUUGUUACAUUCUUUACUGUUUUUUAACAGCAUUUAUCAAUUUAGUCCUGGUCACUAGCUUGUGAAAUACAUGUCAAUAACACCUAAAGAUGAUACCUGCCAUACUGCUCUAUUACAAGAAGCAAAUCAUUUCAAUUAUGCUCAAUGUGAUUGCAAAGAUAUAAAUAAAUUAGAAUAACAUUCAACACAAAAGAAAAGUUGAUCUCCAGAAAUAUGUUUUAGAGAGAGUGAGGAAAUCCUAAUUGAGAGAAAAAGUUAAAGCAAGUAAAUUCAACUAUUAAAUAGCAAAUUUAGCCCAAAAAUGUGAAGAUAUGAAAGCAGAUGUAGCAAAAAUAAAAGCCAACAUUUGUAUUCCUAAAAUUAUGGUUGUGUAAGAACAUGUUUAAACAAUAAUACUUUUAAAUGUCACAAAAGUAAUUUUGGUUUUUCCAUAAUGUUGCGACUGAAUGUGCAUGAAACACAUGACCUAUAUAACUAUCUGGUUGCUAGUUCAUGGAUUUUCAAUUUGCUUUACAAUUAUUAAAGAAACUUGUAUACCUGCAUAAAAUUUAACAUCAUUGGAGACACUAGGUGAAAAAAGUUCAACCCAGGCUUUAAGCCUCUUACUUUUAAUGGAUUGGCCCAUAGAAAUUCCAGUGAUGACAAGGGAAAAAACAAAUGGACAUUGACAAGACAAAUCGUAUAAGAAAUCAUGUUUUCAAAAUGUAUACCAGCAACACCAGCAAAGAAAACAUUGAAGUACUGUAACCACGCAUUUCAAAAACGCACAAGCCGAAGAAAUUGAUACUUGCAAUUUAUUUUAAUAAACUAAUAAUUUUUUUACUAAAUGUAUAUUAUCAACUAAUUACUUAAAAAUUGAUAAAAUUUAUUUAUUUA